GUCCUUAUAGUGUAGUGGUUAUCACAUCUGUCUUACACACAGAAGGUCCCUGGUUCGAGCCCAGGCAAGGACA
rfam:Trichuris suis scaffold71.23, whole genome shotgun sequence.